rnacentral:lncRNA from 1 species
CUUAUGCCAUCCUUGAUGAUAUCGUAGCGUACAUUGGAUAUUUGAUAUAUUGGAUUGAUAAGGAUUGGGUCUAGAUUGUGAAUCCUAUAAUGUAGAGGAAAUGAUGAACUAUGAACGAGUGGCAUCUAGUCAAUAGUAAACCAUGAACGAGUGGCAUCUAGUCGAUAGCGAACAAACAGACAAUCUAGUUAAUAGUGUAUGCGACACCUAUGGACUAUAUGAUGAUUGUGACUCUAGAGGACAGGGUAUCCUCGAGCUUAGAGGAUUGGAUCAUGCUCACGGUCUGUUAAACCUUGUGAUGGAAGCCCCACACAAGUAGUGCGCUCCGGAUGUUGGUCACGCCAGGGAUUGCCUAUAUGGCCCCGCCAGACGGUCUCGGGUCCGUAGUGUGAGUUGAUUCUCCCUACGUGUCGAGAUGGCUAGUGAGCGGUAGGCGAGCCUUCGGGUAAGCCAUGAGAUUAAUGAACAAGUAAAUGAGGUUAAUGAUCGAGUGAAUAGCUUCACCUUUGGACAUGAUGACAGGUUAGUUGCUUACCAAUUCAUUGGACAUGCAUUCAUAUAUCUAUGAUUGGGCAUAGUAGAAUAGCUUCAUUUCCGUCAUUUACAGCUUCCUUAUCUAUCUAUCUAUCUAUUGGUAUAUCUACUUGUGCCCGCUUGGACCUAGUGGGGAGAUCGGCGGAGUCGGCGGCCGAACCCACUGGGAACUAAGGAAGUUAGUUCUCACCCCCAUUUUUACCACAGGUUCCAGUUCGGGCAUCCCCGG